GAACUGCGAUAAGUAAUGUGAAUUGCAGAACUCAGUGAAUCAUCGAGUCUUUGAACGCACAUUGCGCCCCCUGGCAUUCCGGGGGGCAUGCCUGUCCGAGCGUCAUUGCUGCCCUUCAAGCCCGGCUUGUGUGUUGGGUCGUCGUCCCCUCCGGGGGACGGGCCCGAAAGGCAGCGGCGGCACCGCGUCCGGUCCUCGAGCGUAUGGGGCUUUGUCACCCGCUCGAUAAGGACCGGCCGGGCGCCAGCCGGCGUCUCCAACCUUUUUUUCUCAGGUUGACCUAGGAUCAGGUAGGGAUACCCGCUGAACUUAAGC
rnacentral:misc_RNA from 1 species